AUUGAACGCUGGCGGCAGGCCUAACACAUGCAAGUCGAGCGGUUGAGGGGAGCUUGCUCCCUGAUUCAGCGGCGGACGGGUGAGUAAUGCCUAGGAAUCUGCCUAUUAGUGGGGGACAACGUUUCGAAAGGAACGCUAAUACCGCAUACGUCCUACGGGAGAAAGCAGGGGACCUUCGGGCCUUGCGCUAAUAGAUGAGCCUAGGUCGGAUUAGCUUGUUGGUGAGGUAAUGGCUCACCAAGGCGACGAUCCGUAACUGGUCUGAGAGGAUGAUCAGUCACACUGGAACUGAGACACGGUCCAGACUCCUACGGGAGGCAGCAGUGGGGAAUAUUGGACAAUGGGCGAAAGCCUGAUCCAGCCAUGCCGCGUGUGUGAAGAAGGUCUUCGGAUUGUAAAGCACUUUAAGUUGGGAGGAAGGGUUGUAGAUUAAUACUCUGCAAUUUUGACGUUACCGACAGAAUAAGCACCGGCUAACUCUGUGCCAGCCGCCGCCGUAAAAC
rnacentral:rRNA from 1 species